GUUGAGCAUUAGUGGUUCUUUUAGUGUGUGGCCCCCAGAAGACACAUCCACUUUUUCUCAUCACUGAGCUCUGGAAUAAGGAGGCUCUGCCUAUCUACACAGACACAAGACUCAAGUGUGCGGUAAGGACCCUGGACAAGGAGAAGAAAAACUGUUCUCUUUGAUCAUUUGAACUAUACCAGAAGAGCCACCAGCCUAUGAGUCAGUUCAUAUUCCUGGUCACUGAGCACUUGCUCUGCAAGGGGGUUGUGCUGUGUAAUCAGACUCCAGAAUACAAGGGGGCAGGCUCACUAGAUUAGAAGACAAAUGAUGAACAGCCAGCUAUCACAAGGCUUGAUACAGUGAGCUAGAGAGGUGUCCACAUGGCACUGCCAAAUAGGCGUAUGUGGGAAACGUCCAGGGCCAGUCUUUACCUUUGUGGUGCCCGAGACUCUUACCAGGCUCCGAUCUUUACAAGAGGCGUUAAUGUGACAGCGGAGGGCAGCUGGAAUGGAGGCUGGGGAUUGGGAUACUUUUCUAGGCUCCUGCUAUGUUCUGUGCCUACACCACCCACGCUUACCUCUGGGCCCUUCUCCCUUGCAGCAGGGACCCUGGGUGCAAGGGGCACAAAUUUGCACACAGUGGCCUGGCCUGUGAGGCCGAUGAGGGUCUGGGCGAGGAAGAGGAUAGCAGCUCUGAGCGCAGCUCCUGCACCUCGUCCUCCACCCACCCCCGCGAUGGGAAGUUCUGUGACUGCUGCUACUGUGAGUUCUUCGGCCACAAUGCGGUGAGUGAGCCUGCCUGGGCAGAGAGGGCUGGGCAGGCAGGGGCAGAGGAGAGACCCCUGAUCAUGGCAGGGAUCGCCAUGCUGGGCUUCAGAGUCCUUACACCUACAUCUGCUUGCUUCAGCCUGGAGGCACAUUUGUGAGGUCGGGAUAUCUUAACGUGUUAUUGGCUGUGUUCUUCUCGUGGUUUCUCUUAAGAUUGACUUUUUUUCUUUAGGCAAAAGGAGAGGAAGUGGCAGAGAAAAAGCUAUGAUUCUGAUGAGUAUGUAUACGUGUGUAAUCCCAGAGAAGUGAACGCUUGUGCAUGAUGAAAGCAGAGUGGAAGCAAAAGGUUCCCCAAGUGUGACAGCCAGCCGAGGUACAGGCCAUGAGCACAGAUGGCACCAAGGAGGCUCAGAUCAUGCUGUCUCUAGACAGGGGAGCAGUUCAGA
rnacentral:lncRNA from 1 species